rnacentral:rRNA from 1 species
CCUACGGGAGGCAGCAGUGAGGAAUAUUGGUCAAUGGACGCAAGUCUGAACCAGCCAUGCCGCGUGCAGGAAGACGGCCCUAUGAGUUGUAAACUGCUUUUGUACGAGGGUAAACGCAGAUACGCGUACCUGUCUGAAAGUAUCGUACGAAUAAGGAUCGGCUAACUCCGUGCCAGCAGCCGCGGUAAUCCGGAGGAUUCAAGCGGUAUCCGGAUUUAAUGGGGUUAAAGGGUGCGUAGGCGGGCGGUUAAGGUAGAGGGGAAAUCCUGGGGCUCAACUUCGGAAUUGCCUUUGAUACUGGUCGGCUAGAGAGUAGUUGAGGAAGGCGGAAUGCAGGGUGUAGCGGUGAAAUGCUGAGAGAUCAUGCAGAACACCGAUUGCGAAGGCAGCUUACCGGGCUACUACUGACGUUGAGGCACGAAAGCGUGGGGAGCAAACAGGAUUAGAUACCCUUGUAGUC